rnacentral:rRNA from 1 species
CCUACGGGAGGCAGCAGUGAGGAAUAUUGGUCAAUGGACGAGAGUCUGAACCAGCCAAGUAGCGUGGAGGAUGACUGCCCUAUGGGUUGUAAACUUCUUUUAUAUGGGAAUAAAACGUUCCACGUGUGGGAUUUUGUAUGUACCAUAUGAAUAAGGAUCGGCUAACUCCGUGCCAGCAGCCGCGGUAAUACGGAGGAUCCGAGCGUUAUCCGGAUUUAUUGGGUUUAAAGGGAGCGUAGGUGGAUUGUUAAGUCAGUUGUGAAAGUUUGCGGCUCAACCGUAAAAUUGCAGUUGAAACUGGCAGUCUUGAGUACAGUAGAGGUGGGCGGAAUUCGUGGUGUAGCGGUGAAAUGCUUAGAUAUCACGAAGAACUCCGAUUGCGAAGGCAGUUCACUGGACUGCAACUGACACUGAGGCUCGAAAGUGUGGGUAUCAAACAGGAUUAGAUACCCCUGUAGUC